rnacentral:rRNA from 1 species
UACGAAGGGGGCUAGCGUUGUUCGGAUUUACUGGGCGUAAAGCGCACGUAGGCGGAUCGUUAAGUCGGGGGUGAAAUCCUGGAGCUCAACUCCAGAACUGCCUUCGAUACUGGCGAUCUUGAGUCCGGAAGAGGUGAGUGGAACUCCUAGUGUAGAGGUGGAAUUCGUAGAUAUUAGGAGGAACACCGGUGGCGAAGGCGGGUCUCUGGGCAGUAACUGACACUGAGGAGCGAAAGCGUGGGGAGCGAACAGG